UACGAAGGGGGCGAGCGUUGUUUCGGAAUUGACUGGGCGUAAAGCGUGUGUAGGCGGUGAGGUAAGUCGGAUGUGGAAAAGCCCCAGGGCUCAACCCUGGAAGUGCACUCGAUACUGCUUCGCUUGAGUACUGGAGAGGUCGGUGGAAUUCUCGGUGUAGAGGUGAAAUUCGUAGAUAAUCGAGAGGAACAUCUGUGGCGAAGGCGGCCGACUGGACAGAUACUGACGCU
rnacentral:rRNA from 1 species